GCUGGUGGAGGUGAUGACAAUUUUUUCCCCGUCAGAGCGACAGUGUUGAUUUCUCACUGUUCAAGCCAGAUUGUGUCUGACACACCAGC